rnacentral:rRNA from 1 species
UUUGAUCCUGGCUCAAGACGAAACGCUGGCGGCGUGCUUAACACAUUGCAAGUCGAACGAUGAAGCCUAGCUAGCUAGGUGGAUUAGCGGCGAACGGGUGAGUAAUACGUGAGUCGACCUACCUUUGACUCUGGGAUAAGCCUGGGAAACUGGGUCUAAUACCGGAAUACGACCAAUCUCCGCAUGGGGUGUUGGUGGAAAGCGUUAUGGAGUGGUUUUAGAUGGGCUCACGGCCUAUCAGCUUGUUGGUGAGGUAAUGGCUUACCAAGGCGACGAACGGGUGGCCGGCCUGAGAGGGUGACCGGCCACACUGGGACUGAGACACGGCCCAGACUCCUACGGGAGGCAGCAGUGGGGAAUAUUGCACAAUGGGCGCAAGCCUGAUGCAGCGACGCCGCGUGAGGGAUGACGGCCUUCGGGUUGUAAACCUCUGUUAGCAUCGAAGAAGCGAAAGUGACGGUAGGUGCAGAGAAAGCGCCGGCUAACUACGUGCCAGCAGCCGCGGUAAUACGUAGGGCGCGAGCGUUGUCCGGAAUUAUUGGGCGUAAAGAGCUUGUAGGCGGUUGGUCGCGUCUGCUGUGAAAGGCUGGGGCUUAACCCUGGUUUUGCAGUGGGUACGGGCUAACUAGAGUGCAGUAGGGGAGACUGGAAUUCCUGGUGUAGCGGUGGAAUGCGCAGAUAUCAGGAGGAACACCGAUGGCGAAGGCAGGUCUCUGGGCUGUAACUGACGCUGAGAAGCGAAAGCGUGGGGAGCGAACAGGAUUAGAUACCCUGGUAGUCCAUGCCGUAAACGUUGGGCACUAGGUGUGGGGGACAUUCCACGUUUUCCGCGCCGUAGCUAACGCAUUAAGUGCCCCGCCUGGGGAGUACGGCCGCAAGGCUAAAACUCAAAGAAAUUGACGGGGGCCCGCACAAGCGGCGGAGCAUGCGGAUUAAUUCGAUGCAACGCGAAGAACCUUACCAAGGCUUGACAUAUACUGGACUGCGUCAGAGAUGGCGUUUCCCUUCGGGGCUGGUAUACAGGUGGUGCAUGGUUGUCGUCAGCUCGUGUCGUGAGAUGUUGGGUUAAGUCCCGCAACGAGCGCAACCCUCGUUCUAUGUUGCCAGCACGUGAUGGUGGGGACUCAUAGGAGACUGCCGGGGUCAACUCGGAGGAAGGUGGGGAUGACGUCAAAUCAUCAUGCCCCUUAUGUCUUGGGCUUCACGCAUGCUACAAUGGCCGGUACAGAGGGUUGCGAUACUGUGAGGUGGAGCUAAUCCCUAAAAGCCGGUCUCAGUUCGGAUUGGGGUCUGCAACUCGACCCCAUGAAGUCGGAGUCGCUAGUAAUCGCAGAUCAGCAACGCUGCGGUGAAUACGUUCCCGGGCCUUGCACACACCGCCCGUCA